CGCGUGGUCAGAGCCCUUGCGCGCGUGCGUGACGUCAUGGCCGCUGGUGACGUGAUAAUGCAAAUUAGAAUAGAAAUCAAAGAGACCCAAGCUAGCUUGCAAGCUACAGAUCUGCGAUGAUCUGGAUAAUUGUAAGCGUAAUUUUGGGGACUUUAUUGGGUAUACUAGACCAUGUAUACCCAAAUCUACAAAUACUAUAUAUACCAAAAAUGUUAGCGGCAGAGUCGCGCAAUGGUAAGUUGAAAUCUUUGUUAUUUUACCUCAAAAUGACACUGCGCUUUCUCGAAUGUGUUCCUUUUUUUUUGCGAUAGCCUUUAGCGAUUUUUUUUUACAUAUUUUAUUUAUUUUGCAGUAAUUCUCGGAAUUACAGAUUUUUCAGAACCAAGCUCUCUCAUCGAGUUUCGGGACAGAAGAAUUGGAUACGCUCGGGAGCCUACACGCCCAGAUGAUGUAUUUAGAUGUAAUAUAACAGAGUUUCGGGACAGAGGGAUUGGAUACGAGCGGCAGCCUUCCCUUCCCUUUUACGUGUAUAAGAACACAACCUACACGCCAGGUGAGUAAUGAAAUCAAAUAAGUCAUAUAACCUUACCCUUUGACGUGUAUAACACUAUCUUUACGACAGGUGCAAAUGGUGUUAUACACCUCACCGG